GAUUUAUUAUGGAAACUACAAGGUUACCUUCAAACCUGUCCCAUCAGCAUUUGAUGGCUGGUGAAGAGAAUGAAACUCCCUUGGCAGUUCCCACAAAACGGAAUUCGCCGGUUCAGAGGGUCAUCACAGUUCGAGAAUGGUUAACUGUCAUAGUUUUGUGUUAUGUCAACUUAAUCAACUAUAUGGACAGAUUUACAAUAGCUGGAAUUUUGACAGAUAUUAAAGAUGAAUUCAAGAUUGGGAAUGAUGAUGGUGGUUUACUACAAACGGUGUUUAUUAUCAGUUACAUGAUUUUUGCACCUUUAUUUGGGUACCUUGGUGAUAGAUAUAAUCGAAAACUCAUCAUGAGUUUUGGAGUAUUCCUUUGGUGCCUUACUACCUUCAUUGGCUCUUAUAUGAGGACGUUUGGAUGGUUUCUCGUUUUUCGAACGUUUGUAGGUAUCGGCGAAGCCAGUUACUCAACGAUAGCUCCAACGAUCAUAAGUGAUUUAUUUGUUAAAGAUGUGCGGUCGAAAAUGCUUGCCCUAUUCUAUUUUGCCAUACCGGUUGGAAGUGGCUUGGGAUAUAUAACAGGUAGUGAAACGGCGCGAAUAGCUGGUUCCUGGCAUUGGGGAUUGAGAGUCACCCCGGUACUCGGAGUGCUGGCCGUUUUUCUACUUCUAGUUGUGGUUCAAGAUCCAGUUAGAGGUGAAAGAGAAGGUGGAGGCCACAUUCACAGCACAUCAUGGUCUGAUGAUAUCAAAUCAUUGUGCAAAAAUCCAAGCUUCAUGCUCUCCACUGCAGGAUUUACCUGCGUCUCGUUCGUUGCUGGAGCAUUGGCAUGGUGGGGGCCUACGUUUAUACAUUUAGGUUUCCAAUUGCAGCCUAACGGCGAAAAUACCACGUUAAACGAUGUUUCCUACAAAUUUGGCUUGAUAGCCAUGGUAGCUGGCGUGAUAGGAGUUCCGCUUGGCUCGUAUUUGGCACAACGACUGAGGGUAGCUUGUCCACAAGCUGAUCCACUGAUAUGUGCUGUUGGUUUAAUUUUGAGUGCUCCUUUGCUCUUCUUUGCAGCUAUAGCUGCCAGCAAAAACUCAGUUGUUUGUUAUGUCCUUAUAUUUUUUGGGCAACUUGCGUUGAAUCUCAAUUGGUCGAUUGUAGCGGAUAUGUUGUUGUAUGUUGUCAUCCCAACCAGAAGAUCGACUGCUGAAGCCUUCCAAAUUUUAGUAGCUCACGCGUUAGGAGAUGCAGGAAGUCCGUACAUCGUCGGUGUGAUUUCCGAAGCAUUGAAAGCGGCGUUGUCACCAGACACAAAUAUACAUGAGCCACUGCCCAGUCAAAAUUCUACCAUAGAUGAUCCACUCACUACGUUUCGUAGUCUACAAUAUUCGCUGUUCUUAACAACAUUUAUCGAAGUCAUCGGUGGACUCUUCUUCUUCAUCACAGCUCUUUAUAUACAGAGAGACAAGGCUAUAGUUGAUCUGUCAAUCGCAGUACACGAACUGGUUGCAAGUUUGCAGUUAUCAAAAUCUCACACAGCUGUCUGACACAGGUAGAGUUACAGUGCUAUAUACAUAUGUACACGUAUAAUACACGUACAUAAUUUUUUUUCCUCUUCUGUUUUUUAGUAUUUAACACGUCAAGCGCCAUACCCCCUCUCAGAUAUUAAAACUUGACUAUUCAGCAUAUUAUACAAUUUGUAACGAUAUUAGCCAGCGGAAUACCUAAUUUGCAUUUGCUUCUGUUACGUAAUUUAAACCGUAUAUCACUUCAUGAUUUUAUUUUUAGCCUACACUGCUAUGUUCCCAAUUGUAUUUAUAUUAUCAAUACCUACAUUCUAAAAGUAGCAGUCCGUUCUCAACCGAACAUGCGUACACCAGGCCUUGACCUACAAGAAAAAAAUCUAGACACUAAGAAUAAUGGGCAGGCAGAAUCAACGCGUUUAUAGAUCAUCAGAAGGCCCCCCCCCAAUCCGGUAGUGCGCUGUAUACCUGAUUCGAUUACAUAUAAAUACCUCGAAGAAUAUAGUCUCAUGUUUUGAUACAGCUCUGAAAACUUGGAGUAGAUUUUUACAAUUAGGAUUACAAUUCAUACAUUAUCACACAGAAUGAUGGGUAGCAUGCUAAGAAAAAUAUAUAUUUGCAUAAUGUGGUAAAUGCUUCUUACACAGAAUUUGAGAUGCCUCAGCUUGUAUAUUUUCAAACAUUGAUUUACAAAUACUAUUCAUUUUCAAUUAUUGAAUUUUAUGGACCAGGAGAGUUACUGGCAGGUCGACAUGGGAGAUCAAUGUUAUGUGUUUAUUGUUAGUGUUAUUAAUGGACAGACGUACGUACGUGUCAUCUUUAUUUCCCAAGAUAGAUUAGUUUUCUCUAUUUUAUAUACGUAUUUCGUAUAACAUCACUGUGUAGUGAAAUUCCCCUCAAAAACACAGCCAAAAUUUUAUGGAUGUGAAAGGUAUGUGUGCCUCAUAAUCGUUGGUGCUAUAAUGUAGUAGUGCCAUGGAAAGAUAGUUACAUUUCCUAUUUCUUAUAAUCAUCAUACAUUAUAGUGUCAAUAUUUGGGAGCAUUUUCACAGUGUAAGAUACUCUGUCAUCACACAGUUUGUAUUUGAGUACUAAGGCGUAUAUUUUACAUGGACAAGUAUCGCUGCAUGGUAAAAAUAAUCGUUCUAAAGUCGCACACAAAGAUGUCAUUCUUCAUUCCAAGGAUAAUUUAGUUCCAUACUUAUUGAAGUUGAAUUUUCUUCCCCCAUCCUAAACUUCAUUAUGUUAUCUUGCUCUUAUUGUCAGUCAUAAUAGUCUAAUGAUCCAUAGUGCGCUUUGAAUGCAUGUUGCAUCCUACUAAUAGUUUGAUAACACAGUGAAUCCGUAGGACAAGGUGAAUCAAGGACAGUUUAAUCUCUUUAUUUAAUUUCAAGACUGCGCACAGAUGAACUCUGUUCGUUUUUUCGUUUGAUAGACUCCAAUUUUGUCCCUGAUUUGACCCAUUCUACAAUAUUCACGUUUCGUAUGCCAUUCAAGUCGAUUUCAAUGAUCAGAAUGUGAUGUGAUAUUAACACUAAAUUUUUACCGUUAGUUUCUUCGUUUCGUCUCCUCAUGGUCACCUGUGGGCAAAUUUAUUUGGUCAAUUGUAACUUCAACUCCUGGCCAAUUUUCCAAAAUGAAUUUUUUCAAUUCCGUUUUGUUUUAAACCGGAUUUUUUUCGGAAGUAAUAACUAUCCGUAGAGCAUCUUACUGUGGUAUGAACUCAAUAUCUUCUCAAAUUUCGAAAUACUCAUUUCCAAUUCGUUCGGAUGGUUAAAUAACAGGGGUAGAUAUUUGCAAAUAAUUGGGAAACAGUGACGUACUCAUAUCUUCAGGGUAAUCUUUAAAGUAAACGUGUUUUUAAUAUGCACAGCUAUGCAUACAACGAUAAAUUUUAUUUGAAUUUAUGAUAUAUUUCUUCUUUUGAACUAAUAUUUGGAUUUGUAAAAUUCUAGUAGCUUAAGAAUAACGUACGUAAAAUUUAUCGAUAAAAUUUUUUAUGUGUUAUGAAUGUAUCAUGUUAUGUUACAGAUGCAGAAACAGAUUCAGAUACAUCACAUAUCUGCGAAUAUGAUGACGAACUACCGAAUAG